ensembl:lncRNA
CAGGUGUUUGUAACUGUUGGUGAAUAACGCUCUGAAGGCAUCACAGACUGCCUGCUUGUCUCUGCAGUGCUCGGGGCUUUUCUGAGCUGCAGGCUCGCUGUCGCCCUGUGGCAUAGCCUUGCAUCUGGUGACGGACUGAAGCUGGAGAAUCCUGGCAGCAGAGGACGCUCCUGCCCCCACAGAAGGGCUCACAGCUCCACCGCAGCUCCACCGACCUCAGUGCUGGUGAGGAGGCUGAGAUGCCUCCAAGUGAUGAAUGCAGUGCACCCAACCUUACACCUCGUGUGGUUCACUGUGCGAGGCGACCAGGAAGAAAGGUCUGGCCGACUGGCACAGUCAGUCUCCAAGCAGUCGCACGCUGCCGGUUUGGAGGUAGUUCUGUGUUGGUGUUAGAAUCAUGGAAUGGCCUGGGUUGAGAAGGACCUCAAAGAUCGUCCAGUUCCAACCCCCUGCUAUGUGCAGGGUCACCAACUGACGGACCAGGCUGCCCAGAGCCUUGUCUUGAAUAAGAUUGUUUUUAGGCGAACAAAAACUUUGGAUCACCUUUCAAAUACAGAGAAAAAAAUAAUGCUGUAUUAUUUUUUUGUUUUAUUUUCCUGUUGUUAUUAUCAGGUAAAGAGACAGACAUAUCACAUCUCAAAAUGGCUUUACUUCAGUGGCCUUAAAUGGUCCCUCUGUGAUCAUUAUUUUCUUAUUGAAUCGCUGUCAGACACAGCUGGUGGAUUUUUGUAUGUGCAGUUUGGAGUUCCUGGCUAAAAUGAACCACAUGAAUACAGAUUACGGAUAUUCUUAUCUCAGCACACUUUUGAGAUGGAGCAUUCAAAUUACAAGACCUUCAGUCUGCUGUUUUAAUCUGACCCAGAAGGAAAACUUCACUACAGUUUCGUUUCCUUGAUUCCCGUGCAAUUUUAUUUUGGAACUGAAGCUCAAUCGAAUUUAAACAACUUUUUUGAAAGUCUGUAAUGAAAGUUGCAUUUUUGCUUACACGUAGCCACUUUGACCCACGGUGAAUGAAAGUCAUAAAGCAGGGUAUAAAGGGAGUUUCUAAAUUGCCUGUUGUUGAGUCCAUUGAAGGCAACAGGAGAGUCCAGAAUGUGACCUUUGAGAGCAAAUUUGCCUCUGCUUCUUACUGAAUUUUGUGUUGCGUUUUUCUGUAUAUAUAUUUCUUUUGACUCAGAAAUACAAAUUAUAAUGAAGGUGAGGCACUUCACAAUACAUUUGGCUUCAGCAUUGCUGAAUAUACAUUUGUAUAUGUAUAUAUAUUAUAUAUAUGUAUGUAUAUAUAUGUAUAUAUAUAUUGUACAGCAAACAUUUCAGAAUCUGCAGAACGUUGCUAAUAACUGCAGUGGAACAGGGAGGAAUAGUGAAAACAGAUUUCUGCUUUGAAUGCUUUCAAAUUUAAUAAUUAAUGCAUUUUAUUUUUACUUGUAUAGGAUUAUCAUGAAUUCUAGAUAGGUAGUUACAUUUGAAAAUGCUAAGUGGGAUAGCAAAACUGGAUCAUAAACACAGGAAACAGAUUCUGCAUUCAUUUUCUUGCAUUUCUGUCCUGCUGGCAUGCUCUUUGUACUUUCUACCAUUUCAGAAUCACAGGAGCUAAAAUAGUCUGAAAAAGAAGAGUCCAAAUUCUUGCCUUUGGAAGGCCCAGCUCGUUACCCAACUCCUGAGCAAAGAAAAAGAAGAAUAAAGGCUUCAGUCACCACACAUACUCACACUGGGAGACUUCAGCCUCAGCGUGACUGUCAGCCCUGUGGACACGCUGGCUGUCACUGUGCCCACCGUCUGCCACAACAUCACCUGCAGCCUCUGUGGAACUUCAAUGGCCGUGUCCACACCGACCGCCUCAUCCAGAGCAGCACUGCCACGGGUCACCGCCUCAGUCCUGGUCCCAGGUGUCCCCUGUGCCAGCAAUCCCCCAGCAGCGAGUGAGUGGGCAGUGGACACAACCUGGGCUUCUCGCCAGGCCCUGCACGGGUGGUGGCAGCGUUCCAGGGGCACCGCCUCCGGCCCCACCCAUCCCUCUCCAAAAACGAGCUGAUGCUGUUCUCCUGGUUUGAGCGGCUGUGUACGGACUGUGCGACUGCCCGAGGGGAACCUUCCAACCUACUGCCUGAACUGAACUGAACUGAACUUCGGUGUCACGAGCGCGGCUGCAGAUAUGCAGUAACCGUACUGAAACUGCAACUAUCUGAAGACCCACAUGCAGAACAAACCGUACAGUGCACAGAAAUCACUGCAGUGAUGAAGGAACUCGGCAACGGGGCCGCUGUUGUGUUUUGGUAACAGUGAGGAGGCACCAGCAACGAGCUGUGGAUUGGCUGCCCCCCCUGCGCUGCACUGUGCAUUCACGCGCUGGCCACGCAUAGAGUGCGUGAUCCGGCUCAGGGCAUACAGACAUGUCAGGAGGGCAGCAGGGUGAGGUAACUCAGGCAGAGGACACCGCUGCCUCCAUGGGGAUGCCCGCAAGGCCCUGAGCCAACCAGUCCCUCCCUUUACAGCCAAUCCGAGCUGUGCUGGCUGAUGGUCCUUUUGGGACCUCUUGGCGGAUCAGUAGCUGUGCA